rnacentral:rRNA from 1 species
CGCCGGUAAGGUGAUAUGAACCGUUAUAACCGGCGAUUUCCGAAUGGGGAAACCCAGUGUGAUUCGUCACACUAUCAUUAACUGAAUCCAUAGGUUAAUGAGGCGAACCGGGGGAACUGAAACAUCUAAGUACCCCGAGGAAAAGAAAUCAACCGAGAUUCCCCCAGUAGCGGCGAGCGAACGGGGAGGAGCCCAGAGCCUGAAUCAGCAUGUGUGUUAGUGGAAGCGUCUGGAAAGGCGCGCGAUACAGGGUGAC